GGGUGACAAGAGCAGAAAUGUAGAAACAGAAUAAAUGCCACCUCUGUCUCUGCUUUGGUUUCACAUCAGAAAAAACUGUCCAGUGUGUGGGUGUCGGUCUGUAACACCAACUCAAACAACUGCUGCGGAUCAGACGGCUCUCCGUGGCAACCGAAUUCGCUGACGCAGUGAAAUGUCUGAAGCUGCCCAACAGAAACUCCUCAGGGAAUUUUCAAGCAACGAUUUCAAGAGUUUGAGUUGUAGCCUGAAACUUUCCCAGAGAACCGGUUCAGAUGGAAUGGAUUUCUGGACUACAUGUGUAUCCAUCAACUUGAUUGUCAUAAAUAUUUAGACGAGGCAGACUUUAGAUGGGCGUCAAUUUUAUUUAGUGAAAAUACAAUUUAAAAAAAGAGGUUGGAAUCAUGUUUUGUGUAACACUUGCUCUGUAUGUAAAAAAAAAAAAAAACAGAAAACAGAAAAGAAAACACAGUCCUAAUAAAUUAUGUUAAUCCUCCUGUAGUUUUAAGAGACGGAGUAAUUUGAGCCUCACAAGCUUUUCCGGCAGGGUUUCUUUAACAACGUUUUUGUGUGAGUGUUAUUUUGGGAACUGACGAUCUGACAGACAGAACCCCCAUUUCCUCGCUGUCCAACAUUUGCCGCAAUCCUCCUGAUCAUCACGCUAAGACCGCGUUGUGAGCUUCAUCAAAGGUGUGGGUUUUUUCAGUGUCACAAUUUAUUUUUUUAAAUGAUUCCUUUACCAAAGCUUGUGAAAUCCUAAUAGCUAGACUUUGAAACAUAGAUAGUGGCA